AACGAACGCUGGCGGCAUGCCUAACACAUGCAAGUCGAACGAGACCUUCGGGUCUAGUGGCGCACAGGUGCGUAACGCGUGGGAACCUGCCCUUAGGUUCGGAAUAACUCCCCGAAAGGGGUGCUAAUACCGGAUAAUGUCUUCGGACCAAAGAUUUAUCGCCUUUGGAUGGGCCCGCGUUGGAUUAGCUAGUUGGUAGGGUAAAAGCCUACCAAGGCGACGAUCCAUAGCUGGUCUGAGAGGAUGAUCAGCCACACUGGGACUGAGACACGGCCCAGACUCCUACGGGAGGCAGCAGUGGGGAAUAUUGGACAAUGGGCGAAAGCCUGAUCCGGCAAUGCCGCGUGAGUGAUGAAGGCCUUAGGGUUGUAAAGCUCUUUUACCCGGGAUGAUAAUGACAGUACCGGGAGAAUAAGCUCCGGCUAACUCCGUG
rnacentral:rRNA from 1 species